GUAGGUGGCAAGCGUUGUCCGGAAUUAUUGGGCGUAAAGCGCGCGCAGGUGGUUCUUUAAGUCUGAUGUGAAAGCCCCCGGCUCAACCGGGGAGGGUCAUUGGAAACUGGGGAACUUGAGUGCAGGAGAGGAAAGUGGAAUUCCACGUGUAGCGGUGAAAUGCGUAGAUAUGUGGAGGAACACCAGUGGCGAAGGCGACUUUCUGGCCUGUAACUGACACUGAGGCGCGAAAGCGUGGGGAGCAAACAGGGAUUAGAUACCCUGGUAGUCCACGCCGUAAACGAUGAGUGCUAAGUGUUGGGGGGGUUUCCCGCCCCGUCAGUGCUGCAGCUAACGCAUUAAGCACUCCGCCUGCGGAUACGGCGCAAGACUG
rnacentral:rRNA from 1 species